rnacentral:lncRNA from 1 species
UCUACUCAACAAAUCACUACUCGGAUGCACGAAACAUCAAUCCCCAAGUGGACUUACGUCUAAGCCAGGCCUAGUUCAUGCAUGCUCGUAUGAUUCGACUUUCGCGGUGGAUAUCGGGUCCUCUAUGAGGAUUAAUCCCCUGUUCAAGCGACCGUCACCCGUAUCAGACUCUAACCCACUUAGGGUAUCUUUCACCGUAUGGGAC